AGGGUUUAUCAAUUGCAGAUCAAAGCCCAAAAAGCUCAGAUUUUCUAGGGUUUUCUCUCUCAUUUUUCGGAUCUCUCCAUUCUUCAUCUUGCUAAUGUAAGUUUGUUUCCUCUUCUGUUUCUGUUACCCUUCAGUUCAAAAUCAGAAAGUGUAUGAAAUUUCCUGUUUUUCAAUUGUGACGUCUAGAUAUGUAGUGUUACAUGCAUAGACUCGUUUAUAUGUCUCUUCUCGAGUUCUUUCUGUAGCGUCGUUUCGUUUUUAUAUGUGCAAUUUGGAUUGGGGUUCUAUCGAUUGGCUAUGAAAAUGCCUUCGUUUUGAGGUGUUUUAAGUUGAGAGCUUUGAUUUAUUGCUGAGUUAAAUUAGGAUUAGUGCUUGGGUUAGGGUUAGGGCUUUUCUUGGUAGAUAUGAUCAAACAGAUAUUGGGCAAGCUACCUCGAAAACCG
rnacentral:misc_RNA from 1 species